CCUCUUCUGAUUUUCACUCUCUUUUCUCUCCGACGGCGACGGCAGCGGCGAUAAAUUUCACUAGCCGAUCAAAGCUCAAAAACGCCACCGUCCGCGCCUUCAUUUCUCCAAAUCAAGAUCCUAAAUCAACUUGGCUCUCAAUCUCUACGGUUCAACACUCUAUCGAGAUUCAACAGAGGAAUUGGAGUUUAACGGAGCUCCGUUGUGCAAUUCGACUCAGGGCAAAGCAAGAUUAGGCAAAUACGCAGUGAGACGCGAAAGUUACCUGAAGUACGGAUUGGUGUUAUUUGAAGAAUUCCGGAGAUGCUUCUGAAUCGAUUUGUAUGGUGCAAAAUUGAACACGAUAGGUGGAGAAGAUGAUGUUUCUUCAGGCGAUGAUGAUAUCCUUGUUGACGUGUUGAUAGUGUCGAAGCCUGAAUGAAUAUUGAAGAUUGUUGCCAAACUGAAGAUGAAGAUGGUGAUUCGAUUAUCAGUGAAGCAGAGAUUACAGAUCGUGAAGGAUGAAGGAGAUGCAAGGUGAAUUGAAGAUGAUGUGAAGGUGAAUUGAAGAUGUGUUUCAAUGGAGUUCUGAAGGUUGUGAAGCAGAGUGAUGAAGGGAGGUUCUGAGAUGAUGAUUGUGAAGAAGGCGAGAAAAAUGGUUGAGAGAUGAAUGAAUCGAAAAAUGGAGGAGAGGCUGAAGUGGUGGAAGAAGUUCUCUUUUAUAGCAGUGAAGGGCUGGUAGUGAAUAUAUGGAGGUCCAGAACAUAUGUGCUGCAAGUAUCAAAGAGGCCUGCCUUGGCAUAUUUGGAGGCUUUGUAAUAGGAAGCAUAGUGUAAUAUGUGGGGGCAACAUCAUGAAGAGGGCCAUGGAUGGAAUUACUUGGUGAAGAAGAAAGAAACGGGGCUUAAGGAUGUAGGUCUAGGAGAUAUUUGCUGCAAGUUCAAAGAAAUAGAUACAAGGCUUUUGUUGUUAAAGUAAUUUCACUUUGUAGUUGAAUACUCCUUGAAUAUGUUGACUUGUGAUUCAUAGAUGGACCUUCAAAUAAAUGCAUAAUUAGGUACUCGAGAAUAGGCAUUUGGUCCUCGGAUUCUGUGUAAUGUUGCUUGUAUAAUCUUCAUGAAUAUUUUGAGCUUGAAAUAUAAUGUGGGCUUUUCUCUUCA